GCCUACAACAUAGCAUUAAUGCACCAUAUCCCAUUAGAACUCCGUAGUUAAGUGCACUUAGGCUAGAUUAGUAUUAGGAUGGGUGACCACUGGGGAAGUCCUAGUGCUUUAUAUGCA
rnacentral:rRNA from 1 species